rnacentral:rRNA from 1 species
GGACUACCCGGGUAUCUAAUCCUGUUUGCUCCCCUAGCUUUCGCAGAUCAGCGUCAGAGAUGGCCCAGAAGCCUGCUUUCGCCAUAGGUAUUCCUCCCGAUAUCUACGCAUUUCACCGCUACACCGGGAAUUCCAGCUUCCUCUGCCACACUCUAGCCCGGUAGUUUCCCUUGACCUCUCCCAGUUAAGCCGGGAGCUUUCACAAGAGACUUACCGAACCGCCUACCUGCGCUUUACGCCUAGUGAUUCCGAGUAACGCUUGCCACCUACGUAUUACCGCGGCUGCUGGCAC